rnacentral:lncRNA from 1 species
UACAUAGCAAAUGAACCUCAUUGUCUUAAGACGUCUCGAGACAGUCUUGAGACAUACACCUUAUGUCUUGAGACAUAGAGCAUACGUCUUAAGACAUGAAACCAUUGAAGAUGUGUCUUGAGACAUAGAAUAUAUGUCUUAAGACAUGUAUCUUGAAGACAUUUUUGAAACUUCAAAAAUUGUAUCCUCUCAUCCAAGACGUCUUGAAAAAAAAUGUUGGUGUCUUGAAGACAUUGAAACAAAAAAAUACCAGUGGCCCAUAAAAUAUAUUCUAAACACAUAAAAAAC